rnacentral:rRNA from 1 species
GGCUCAGGAUGAACGCUAGCUACAGGCUUAAACACAUGCAAGUCGAGGGGCAGCAUGAACAUAGCUUGCUAUGUUUGAUGGCGACCGGCGCACGGGUGCGUAACACGUAUCCAAUCUGCCCGCGGGCUCGGGGAUAGCCCAUCGAAAGAUGGAUUAAUACCCGAUGGUGUGGUUUCUCCGCAUGGGGUUUCCACUAAAGGUUUUCCGGCCGCGGAUGAGGAUGCGUAUGAUUAGGUAGUAGGCGGGGUAACGGCCCACCUAGCCUUCGAUCAUUAGGGGUUCUGAGAGGAAGGUCCCCCCACACUGGAACUGAGACACGGUCCAGACUCCUACGGGAGGCAGCAGUGAGGAAUAUUGGUCAAUGGCCGGGAGGCUGAACCAGCCAUGCCGCGUGAAGGUCACGGCCCUAUGGGUCUUAAACUUCUUUUGUAAGGGAGCAAUAAGGUUCACGUGUGGACUGAUGAGAGUACCUUACGAAUAAGCAUCGGCUAACUCCGUG